ACAAAUUAAAACAUUAAAUUACAGCUUAUAGCUAACUCCCAGCCAAAUAACGAGUUUGCUUAUCAGAGGUCCGAAGAUAUCCGUACGUGUGACAACAGAAAUAGAUGACAAAAUGGACAAAUAUCAAUAUUGUGAUAUUAUCCUUAUUGUUUCCAGAAACGACAUGAUAAAAAUUUCUGGAAAUAUCCUGUCUUGCAGUUUCUUAAUCAACUUGUUUGAUGUUAUAGUAUUGAAUAUUUUUCCCUGACCUCUAGUGAAAUUCCCUGACUUUCCAGGUCAAGAAUCGAAUUCCCUGACAUUCCCUGACUUUCCAGGUUUUUCCAGGUAGUCGACACCCUGGGGACACUACUAGAGGUAGGAACAUCUGGAAAAAAAUCAUCAGAACAGGGUGUCCAUUCAAAAUCAUUUUUUUCAAUUUCCGUAUUUUCCCGGGUGCUUUAAAAGUUGGAACAGUGAGACAUCAUAAUUUGGCGAUUUCCUAUUUUCCGGAUAUUUUUUUUUGUAUGGUAUUCAGUUGGAGCUGCCCCUGACAGCUUAACUUGUCAAGGCUGAACCCUCACGGAGAAAACGAAGUACUCAAAAAUAAGUUUUUUAUACUCAAAAUUAAGUGAAGACGGUCGAACUGAAUAGGUGGGAGAUUUUCGUUUUGACAAAUACGUACAUUUAACUCAACUUUUGAGUUGUCUAAUGAAAACUCAAAUUUGAGUAAAAAUAUACUUGUUUUGUUUAUUGCGCUCUUAAUCACAAAAUUUUAUUAUUUUGUACUUGUGUAUUAUACGAGUUACUAAAAACAACAAAAAAUCUCACAUUGUUUCCUUUAUGAAUAUUACUGAAGUAUUGAGCGUUUUUAAAAUGUUUCUAAUAUUGCAAUCUAACCGAUAAAUUUGAUAAAGUAUGUAAAUCGACCAUCAAUUUGCCAAACACUUUAAAAACACGAAGUUGAGUAGAAGUAACUCAACGUUUGGCAGUUAGGCAGCGUUCUUGCCGUUGAGUAGUUUAAACUCAAUUUUGGAUGAAAAAAUGUGCCAUCCAUUUUGAAAUCUCAGCGCUAGUCAUUCGUAGUCUGUUUUCGUCGGUGUUAGACGGAAUGGGAGGAAAAUUACAAUUUUAUUUCUUUUUAUUCCCAAAUCUGGUAAAAAAAACUGUUUCUGACGUCGUUAUAUACAAAGCUCCGAUAGCUAGCUAGAAAAUGUUCUGAAUUUAUCAAAGGAGUUUAAUAGACUUGGGCCUACGAUUGUUUUUGGUGCCGGAUUAUCGGAAUUAAGAAGUGCCUGUUCGCGACUAAAAAGCUAUUGCGCUGUUACCUCCCGUUCUAAAUAGUGAGUGUCGCCAUACACAAUGAAAAAAAGGGAAAACCGUUCCAUUGGUUGUUGCCGUUCCAGCCACCCAUCCACCAUCAUCACCUAGCAAAUGUUUCCGGAUAAAGGUCUGAUGUUCAUAGGCAUUCCCGGUAAACGAUUUCCGGAAUGGACAAGCGGAUUACAGUGAAUGUGAUUUAUAUAUGAUGACAUAAAUUAAAAGAAAAAUGUGAUUAUGAUGUUAACGUAAAAUAAAAUAUAGGAUUGAAUUCUGUUUCCUCUCAUUAUUUAAAACCAUGACCAUUUUGAAUUCUCCAUUUGCAUUUCGAUUCGAAUGAGAAACUACCCAUUUUUGAGUUUUUUUACUCAAUGUAACAUUGAGUGAAAAUCACCCACUGAUAUACCGUGUACGCACCAAACUUUGCGCAGUUAAGAAAUUAUCAUCGUAUUUUUGCUUCAAAUAAGGCUAAAAUAUGUAUCUUUUUAUUCAAACUUUUGCCAACGAUAGGCUUUUAACCCUUCAAUAGAAUGCGUGUUUUUAAAAAAAUAAAAAUGAUUCACAAAAAAUUGAAAAAAAGCAAAAGGUGAUGCAAUACCUUGUGCCUAACAUUGCGCACACAAUCUGAAUUGUUUCUAACUUUGCGCAUGAUGUGCCUAACUUUGCGCAUGCCUUAAAUUGCUCGUUUACUCUAAAUAAUUUUACUUUUUACUGGUUUCGUAUUAAAUAAAAAGGUUACAACUAAUAUGAGUUUCAUUAAGAAUUUUUUCCGUGAAUUUCAAUCUAAUUUAUUCAAUCACCUCAAACAUAGAAUACCCACGAAUAGUGAUUUACUCUGUUCUUAUUUUUUAUAAUACAUAUAUUUACAAGAUUACAAUAUAGUUUACAGCCGCAGCUAAUAGGCAUGUUAUACGUUGCUUUAUAUAACUUAUUCUCUUGUUUUUUUUUUUUUUUAAUUCCUAAACUGAGUGAUGUAUCGUUGAUCUCUCGCGAUUAAUUUUUUUUUUAUCUAUUUGCCGCCAGUGCGGAUAUUCCAUAAUUGAACGCUUUUUUUCAGACAACUGGAGCUUGAAUUAUUGUCCUUCGACUGGAAAGCCAACCUUUGCGCUAUCAAUUAUCCAAGUUUACAGUUAUAGUCUCCUGUGUUAAUACAGUGGAUUUUCCGAGAUUUUUCAAUGCACACCUUGCCUUCAGCUUCAUACAAAAGGUACUUUCAAGAAUAUUACAUGUAGCCGCUUUUUUAUGGAUUGAGUGACCAUUCCUGGAAGAUCGGCAGAUUUUGUCAUUUGCAAGGACGUACAUGUAUUUACGUGCCCUUCCGAAUUGCUAGAAGUGCGCAAAAAUUAAGACCCUUGUGUAAAAAAUGGGUCCUAACAUUGCGCAUCGCUUUUUUUAAAUCAAAAU